UAGGUUUUGUUUGCCUGCUCUCCUGUGAGAAAACUGUCAGGAGAAGAAAAACAGAAAAAUGCUAAACAUAUUCCGAGCAAUGUAACUGAUUAUACAAAAUACUGUCCUUCUGGGACCUGCUUAUAUUAGGUUAAAUCUGACUUUCAGAAGAUGAACAGCGGGUUUUCAAUUAUGGCAUUUGAGACCUCCAGAGUGGGGAUUAUGAGAAGAUAGCGUAACUCAGAUGGCCCUUUUAAGACAUGCUUUUUAUUCAGCAACAGGAUGAAGCCUCAGACUGGUCCUCUUGCAAGCGCUCCAGCACGGGUCAUAUUUCUUCAAAGGGACAGAAUUCAUAACCCGCGACUCGAACAAUGGGAAGGCUUGUUUAAGAAUAACUCAGGAUACAACACAUUUUAAGCGUGGUGAGGGAUGCAAACAGGAACAGGAAAGAAGCAGCAGAUCUCUCCUCCUUUAUGAGUGAAGCUCAGCUCCUGCAGCCAAGAAGCACUCGUGGUGAUACUGCACUUGCUGAGGUGCAAGAGGAGGCAGAGCUCUGCCUGAGCAAAGGUUUACAAGUGAAGUCCUAACAUCUGGUAUUUAACUGAAAAGAGCAAGACGCGGAAGUACUGGGAUAUCUACCUGGCCUGCUGCUGCCUCCCUUUCCUUUCCAAAUGCAGCUGCUGGGAACCACCCAACCAUGAUCAGCUUCCAGGGCUGGCUGGAUAAAUUGUCCUCCCAAGAAAAACGAAGAUACGAUCUCUAGAUACGCUUGUUCCUCCUCUCCCUGCUAUCUUUUACCCCAAACACACCAUUUGUUGUUGCAGUUUCUGGUUUCAGUGUUUCCAAACAUACAAAAUUCAUUUUAAAUGUGAUCCAAAAGGACUUGUGCCAUGUGUUGUAAACAUCCAUUUAACUCAGAGCUGAGAGCU